GUUUUUUUCUAAAUUGGACAUUUCAGAUAAAUUUUUCUCAUUAAUUGUACUAUAAAUGGUGGGCUACUAGAAUUAACUGUGUGCUUCUUUUUUUAUUAUAGGCUUACAAGAACUGUAAUUAUUUAUUAAAAUGGAAAACUCUGAAGAAAGAAAAAGAUAGCAGUUGCAGUUAAAAUUCCUGGAUGAAUAUUUUGCUUUUGAGAAGUGUGCAUUUAAAAACGAUAUGUUGAUUUGGAAAGUCCCAGGAGUCAAUUACAAAAUCCACUUUUUCCAUUCAAUCAAUGGAGUUUUUCAUCAUUCCUUGGAGCUGAUGAAAUUCAGAGAUGGUGCGUGAUGGGAAGUGUUUUCCUAGUGAUUGCAUCUUGGAUUAGCUUGCUGCUUUUUUGAAGAUAUUCUAUUGUGAAGGGCAAGAACCUAAUGUGAUGGAUUUAUCUUCAGAGAUGAGCAGACAUGGGAAGAACCCAGUGAGUCACAAGCUAGAAGAUCAGAAAAAGCUUCAUGGCGGAUACAUGAUAAACAAGAAAGUGAUGCACUGAACUGUGAAACUGUUCAUCUCAAGUAGGAAGAAACUUACCUUAAGAACAUUGGAGAUUUCCUGGAUGCACAGGUUUCAUUCAACCGUCGGGAGCAGCAUGUGAUUGUUUAGUCAUGUAAGUAGUGACUCAGAGGUUGGGGGGCAGGCAGCUCUGAGUGACAAUCCCAGGUCCAUCACUUUCCAGGAUGUUUGACCCUGGACAAAUGGGUUGAUCUCUCUGAAUUUCUUGUACUCGAGGGAAAUGUUAAUAGUAUUCUGGGACGGUUGCAGUGUAUUCUAAAACCUUUACAGGUGCAAGAUACGUGACAAGAACUCAGAAGAUGGUAGUUUUUGAUUAUUUGAGCAUAUCAACUUAACAGGUUUUAUUUGUACAGACUCUGGAUUUGAUCACCGUUUAGCCUUUUUGGGGGCUUCCCCAGUGGCCCAGCAGGUUAAGAAUUCAUCUGCAGUGCAGGAGACACAGGAGAUGCAGGUUUGAUCCCU
rnacentral:lncRNA from 1 species